GAUGAAGAACGUAGCGAAAUGCGAUACUUGGUGUGAAUUGCAGAAUCCCGUGAACCAUCGAGUCUUUGAACGCAAGUUGCACCCGAAGCCAUUAGGCCGAGGGCACGCCUGCCUGGGCGUCACACGUCGUUGCCCCCCCAUCUACUCCUUCGGGAUUGCGGGGGGCGGAUGAUGGCCUCCCGUGCGCCUCGCCGCGCGGUUGGCAUAAAUGCCAAGUCCUCGGCGACGCACGCCACGACAAUCGGUGGUUGCGAAACCUCGGUUGCCCGUCGUGUGCGGUCGUCGCGCAUCGAGGGCUCGAAAAAAUUGCCGGGUUCCGGCUCGGCUUUCAACGCGACCCCAGGUCAGGCGGGGUUACCCGCUGAAUUUAAGCAUAUCAAUAAGCGGAGGA
rnacentral:misc_RNA from 1 species